CAGUGGCUCACACCUGUAAUCCCAGCAUUUCGGGAGGCCAAGGUGGCCAGAUCACUUGAGUCCAGGAGUUUAAGGCUGCAAUGAGCUACGAUCGCGCCACUGCACUCCAGCCUGGGUGACAGUACGAGAUACAACAGAUGAACACACUUCCUGUUUAUGUGCUUUAGUUCCUUUGUAUGUGCAUUUUAGAAAAGUCAGAAGUCUUUGGUACUUUGCAGCAUGUGUGCAUUGGUACAACUUCUAGGAAGGGCAAUUUGGCACCAUCUAUCAGAUUUACUUAUGUGCAAAAUGAUAUGUACAAGUUUAUUCCAGCCUGAUUUGUAAUAGCAAGAAGAAAUGGAACUAGCCUGAAUGUCCCUCAAUAGAGUACUGGUUAAGUAAGUCAUGGUAUAUACCCAAAAUAAAAUGUAAUGCAAUUAAAAAUAAAUUUAAGAAGAGCAAGGAAGCUUUCCAUAUAUGGGUGUGGAAUAAUGUCCAAAAUUGUUAAGUGAAAAAGCAAAAUUCAUAUCAUGGUUGAGUAUGUGCUCAUUUGUAUAAAAAGAGGGUAAACAGAAUAUUCCAGGAGGAUAUGCAAGAAACUGUUAACAUUGGUUGCCUUUGGCAGCUGAAGGGCGAGGUGAGAGGAGACUUUCCACUGAAUCCCCUUUUACACCUUUUGAAUUUUGAACCAGGUGGGUAAAUAACUUAGUCAAAAUAAAAUAAAAUAAAAUAAAAUAAAAUAAAAUUGGUGGAACAAAAAUAAAAAGGUGACUUGAUGGAAAAGAAAGGAGAAAGAAAAGGAGUAAAAGACAUAGGGAGCUACAUAUAUACAUUAUGUCAUACAUACAUACAUGCAUAGAGAGAUGUUUACUGCUUUAAUCUGGGCUGUCACCCUGACUCACCUUACGGACUUCCUUUUGCUCCCUCCUCUUUUGCCUCAUAGAGUCUGCAGACCAUACUUAAAUUCCCACAUCUCCAUGAUUGAAGGGAAUAUAAAGAUGAAACUGAAGUUCACCUUUUUAAUAGGACUAUAUCCUCCAAGAUCCUAGAAAGCGUUGUGUGGCCCUGAUUCAGAUGUCUGCUUUCCUAUGGCACCAAAACAAUUUUUACUUGGAAAGGACACUAACAUUUAUUGAAUAAACCUCAUCCCAGCCAAGAGCUUCUUAAUCUUUGUCUCAUUCCCUCACCAACCUUGGGAGAUAGACUGAUUGGGAACUGAAGUUCAAAGAGGUUGAAUGGGGUUACCUACCUGCUAAAUUCUAGUCCCCUCACUAGUAAAUGAUGAGGUUGGGCCAUGAGGUCUGCCUGACUCCAAAGACCUUGCCCUUUCCAAUACUUCAUGCUGCCUCCAUAAUUGAGGGUGGUAGAAUGCAGAACAGGGAGUCAUUUGUCACUGUGGUGGAGAAAGAGUUGGUUUUUGACUUUGGGAUUUAGGGAUACAUAUGUCCUCCUUCCUCCUUCCCCUCCUAGAGCAAGAGCUAGAAGCGAAAGAAUAGAAGGUGAUGACAACACUGCAUAUAUUUCAGUUUUAUUUCUUCCGAUCUACUAAUUAACAUUUGUUGGGCAGUAGCCAUAAACAAUCCUAGCCAAUGCAAGGAAACACCAAAUAUUGUCAAGCCCUCACAUUGGUCAUAACUGGAAGCAAACAUGACAUAUAUGGACUAUAUAAUCAGUUUGCGUGGGCUACAGCAAGAUGUUGCCCAAGAGCCUAGGCAUGAGCUGGCUUCCUACGGCCUCCAAGCAGGAAAGAAUGGAGCUAUACACAGUCAUCUGAAUAUACAGAAGUGAACCCUGGGCCAGCCACAUUCAGCCGUAACUUCCCCAGACUGUUUCUACAGGUGCAGUGUGCCAAUCAGAAGAAAGGUGGCCAGGCUCAGGAGAAAGGACAGGAGAGUGACUCUGGCAGGCUUGCUCCAUUGUAGAGAUGAGAUACACCAAGAUAGUGACUUCCCAGCUUUUCUCCCCAAAGCACCCCUAAUAGCUGAGAAGAAUCUGGAGGCAUAGCUACCAUCACAGCUACACUAACCACCAUACUUUACUGUAUCCUUCAGGUGUCUGUCCUAGCUAGUUUUGUGGUCUGGCUCCUUCAGUCCCUGCAACAAGCCUGUUUAUUUUCAUUAUAUUGAUGAGGUUAUAGAGCUUGGACAAGUUACAUGACUUUUCGAAGAUCACAUAGCUAAUAAGUGUCAAGAGUCUUAUUCUCAAAACCCUGGUCUGUCCAACUACAAGCCUGUGCUCCUGACUCCACUAUUCUGCUUACCCUAAGCCUAAAGCUGCCCACUUCAAGCUCAAAUCCUCUUGGAGGCUUCAUGCUUUAAAAAAAAAAAAUCCAUGCAAUUUUUUGCAUCCUAAUUAAUAAUAUAUCUGUGUGUUUUAGUGUAAAUUUUUUUUUUUAAAUUACCAAUUCAGUUAUUUAGCUUUUUAUUCCCCAAAUCUUUGGUACCCUAGGCAGAUGUGUCAUAUUUAUCCUGGGCUUUAUGUACCUCUGGUUUGAGGGACUCUUGAACUUCAUUUUAAGAAACAUGGCCCAAUGAGUACACAGUCAAGUCUUCAUGUCCCUGAACACUGCAUUACAAAAUCAGCACUCCUUGUUCUUUGUAUAUUUGUGUUAUCAAAUAACUAUGUGAUUAUAAUCUGGCUUCUCAUAUACCAUAAGUGCAGAAGAGAAUCAAAAGAUUGAGUACCUGAUUCCCUAAACUGUCAAAUUUCCCGUUGUAUAUUAAUAAAAUUUGUAUCGUUUCACAAAUAAGA
rnacentral:lncRNA from 10 species